rnacentral:rRNA from 1 species
CAGUAGCCGCGGUAAUACGAAGGGGGCUAGCGUUGUUCGGAAUUACUGGGCGUAAAGGGCGCGUAGGCGGCCAUUCAAGUUAGAUGUGAAAGCCCUGGGCUCAACCUAGGAAUUGCAUUUGAUACUGUUUGGCUUGAGUUCGGGAGAGGUGAGUGGAAUUCCCAGUGUAGAGGUGAAAUUCGUAGAUAUUCGGAAGAACACCAGUGGCGAAGGCGGCUCACUGGCUCAUACUGGACGCUGAGGUGCGAAAGCGUGGGGAGCAAACAGGAUUAGAUACCCCUGUAGUCCCUGUCUCUUAUAC